UACGUAGGGGGCUAGCGUUGUCCGGAAUCAUUGGGCGUAAAGCGCGUGUAGGCGGCCCGGUAAGUCCGCUGUGAAAGUCGGGGGCUCAACCCUCGGAUGCCGGUGGAUACUGUCGGGCUCGAGUACGGAAGAGGCGAGUGGAAUUCCUGGUGUAGCGGUGAAAUGCGCAGAUAUCAGGAGGAACACCCGUAGCGAAGGCGGCACUCUGGGCCGGAACUGACGCUGAGGAGCGAAAGCGUGGGGAGCGAACAGG
rnacentral:rRNA from 1 species